UACGUAGGUGGCAAGCGUUGUUCGGAAUUAUUGGGCGUAAAGGGCGCGUAGGCGGUUUGCUAAGUCAGUUGUGAAAGUCCGGGGCUCAACUCCGGAUCUGCGGUGGGUACGGGCAGACUAGAGUGAUGUAGGGGAGACUGGAAUUCCUGGUGUAGCGGUGAAAUGCGCAGAUAUCAGGAGGAACACCGAUGGCGAAGGCAGGUCUCUGGGCAUUAACUGACGCUGAGGAGCGAAAGCAUGGGGAGCGAACAGG
rnacentral:rRNA from 1 species